CACAUUUCAUACUUCUUUUUUUUCUCUCCCUAAAUUACUCCACAUUGUUAGCUGUUACAAUUUUCAAAUCAAUUUGAUUUUCCAAAGAAUUCUCUCUCUAAUCAAUCAAUUUCAAAAUAGGUAGGAAUUGUCUUCUUCAUUGUUGUUUUUUCUCUCCCUAAAUUCUUAGUUGAUGAAAUUUGUACACAUGAAGACAACCAACCACAAAAGAUAUUAGGUUUAAUAUCUAUUUUUUUUGGAUUAAAUUGCAUAGGUAAUUCCCUGAUGAAGAAUGUUGCUGGUAAAUCAAUGUACUGCACGAUUAUAUUUUUUGACAAAAAGUCAAUAUUAAACCUCAAAAAAGUACCUUUCAGUUUGAUUCACAACUAACUUCACCAAUACAAAUGGAUUUUGCCAUAAUGACCAAAACAUUGAUUUUAUGUGUUGUUGAGGUUGAAGAUCAGAUCCAUGAUUGUAAAGGAUGAUGAACCAAAUCAAGGCCCUCAAGAUCUUAAUGAAGCAACAACAAAUGAAGACAUAAAUAAUAAUAUAUCAUGUACUAAUUUAUUAGGCAUAAUACGUAUAUUUAAAUUUAUAUUAAAUAUAUCUCAUAUUCAUAUUUUUUUUUUGUGUAUGGUACAUAGCUAUGUCGAUCUAUACGGACAUGAUUCAUAAAUACUAAUUUAUGCUUCCUGUAUCGA